UGGUUGGCUAAAAUUCCUUUUUGAUAGAAAUGUUAAAAAAUAGAAAUUCCAUGUGCCCCAAAAAAAUGUUCGGCUUAGUCUUUUAAAAAUAAUACGCUCGUUUCAUAGCUCUUUGUUUAAACUUAUUUUUAAUUUACGACACCGAGGAAAUUUGAGCGAGGAUAUCGCAAACUUGCAAAUUUAUUUGCUUGUCGCGCUUGUAAAAUAAACAUAAAUGCAUAUUGGAAAUAUAAAAGGACACGAACGUAUUAAAGUUCGUAAAAGAUAGAGUUCGUAGAGUUCGAUUGCGUCAUGCCAAAGUAUUACAGAAGAUAGGAUAGCAUUGGAAAGGUAUGUGAUUAAUAAAAAAAAUCUCGUGCUCGUAUUUUCAAUCGCUAUCGUUCAUUAAGGCGGCUGGCUUUCAUUAAAAAUUCACGGACAGACAUCGGUCUCCGACACUUUCUCUGCCAGUGCCAAUGUUGCUGAUUACACAAUACAACCACGCCUCAUACGCAUCGUUCGUGUGUAAUGCACGUAAUGUGAGCCAUUGCGUUAAUCGGGAACUUCAGGCAAACCAGAUUCAUGCAAUGGUGCAAACCUUGAUCCACUUACGAUCCGACAUAUUUACAGAUUUUGAAAAAACUUACUUAUGUAUAGUUACAUAAUCUUCUGCAAGGACAUUAGAUGUGUCUAAAGGUGUCAGAAAUGUGAAUUGACUCUGUGGAUGCAUUUUAGUAUGAUCCAAAAGAAUAUCCAUUAUAAUUCGGCGAUUUACCUUAUCCUG